GCCCCUUGGAGUUUGCGUAGGCAAUUCUAUCUGAUGAAAAUGCUUUUGACAGCUUCCACAUGAAUUGCUAUCUAAUGGCGGCCCUUCUGUCGGUCUCGUGUCACGAGUGUUUUAAGUGCAGGUUGGAAGGAAAGGGGUGUCUUUGUUUGGGACAGUCAGCCAAGACUAACUGGGAUCAUCCUGGUUCACAGAUACAAGAUCCUGACAACGUUCAGACAUUCGCUCACAUAUCACUGAAAAACUGUUUUGUUUCACUUGCGAGUCGUGCUCCUAACCCUUCACCAUCCCAUCAUGCCAAGUCAUUUAAGGCAUCUGUGGCCUCUCUGGCCCAGCCUCUGCAGCCCCAUCAACCCCUGCCGCGGCUCAUAACAGCGCAUGCCCACUUGGCUGGGCCAGCCGGGAGGGCAGCCGGGCCAGGACUCCCAGGACUCCCAAGCAUCCAGAGCAGCUGGAAGCCCCAUCUUCCCAUCCUGCUUCUCAGCAAAACAAUCAAAACAGAAAAUCUAUAAUAAAUCAGUCUCAGGCUCUAUAUGGGAAAAGAAAAAAAAAAAAGAGGAGGGAUUCAGUCAAGGAAAUCGCUGUUUGAAAACUGAAAGCAAUGAAUUUUCUUCAGCUAUCUAAAAUAAAAAAGUUGCCAGGUCCAACCUGGAGUAUGUGAAUGUAAUAGAGAGCUGCGAGUCCAUUAGCAGGAGCUGUCAUGUUUCCCUUUUCAACCAAUAAGCUUUAAUGAUGACAAUUAUUUAAAAGAAGAAGAAAAAAACACACAAAAACAAAAGGUGUUAGGAAUCUUUUAAUGUGACUAACUCUGGGUUGUGCAUUAGCAGUUAUACUAUAUACAUAUAAGUGUAUGUACAAGCCUGCUGAUUUCAAACUAACUUAGACUCAUUGAGUUAAUACCUCUAACCUAAACAACUGUAAUGGAGAGCAUGAAAAAUCUCCCCUCCCCCUUACUUCUCACACCCUCCAAGAGGACACAAAUACACACACACAGAGUCUGACCACCCCAAAGCUAAUGCAGUUGACUCAGAGGGUCAUCUGUAGUU